UCCAGGGACUCGGUUUCCGCCCGGAGAUUAAAAUCAUGGCUGGGGAAUGAACUUAAUGUUUUAGGGUAGAGCUCCGCCUUGGGAGAGGAUGUUACUGACGUGCCGGCGGGCAGAUCGGGCCAAAAAGGGAACCCGCACCCGCUCUCAGCCACCAGUCGCCACCUUCCAGGGGCUAGUCCCCACUGUCCCUCCCUCACCACCCUUGCCCGGGCCCUGGGAUGGCCAGCCGCACGUGGACUCCGCACCUGGGCGCCCUGAAUGUUGCCAGCCCUCCUAACAGCCAUGUGUGUGUGUGUGGGGGGGGGGGGGUUAUCUAUGUCACUCAGGUGAAAGGAGUUAAGACCAGAGGAAAUACCCGGCCACACAGGGCGCCCCACUACCCAAUUCCACGCCGCUCCACCCGGUGUCCAGGCGCCUGCGCUGGAGCUCUGCACCAAGGCACGUUUCUCUUGCCGUCGCGGGGGCCGAGGGCCUGCUGGGGUCCGAAAGGCAGGGGAGAGUUGGCGGCGGUUUUUCAAUGAUUCCCAGGAGCGCCUGCCUGAGGCCUGGAGGCGCUGUCCACGGCUCCCCUGCCGGGGCUCCUAGGUGGACGCCGCCCAGGUCCCAGGUGCCCUCUGGGCCCCACGCUCUCAGGGUCCCGUCCCCGGAGCUCCUGCGGGACCCCGGGGCAGAGCUCCGCAAGGGCCUCUGGUCCGUUACAAAGCACCCCAAGCGGCUCAGAGGGAAGGGGGCCCAUCGUCCCUCUCGUAGGUGCCUUUCCGAGGUCGCCUUCUUUCCAGAGACAGAAUCAGCAGCCCCCUUCGACCGGACGUUCCGUUCGUGUGG